CUGUACUUAUCCUUGGCACUGGAAGAAUUCACAGAUAGUUUUGAAUCGUGGAUUCCCUGGUGCCAUAGAUAAAAGGAA
rnacentral:pre_miRNA from 1 species